UAGGGAAUCUUCCGCAAUGGACGAAAGUCUGACGGAGCAACGCCGCGUGAGUGAUGAAGGCUUUCGGGUCGUAAAACUCUGUUGUUAGGGAAGAACAAGUAUGAGAGUAACUGCUCGUACCUUGACGGUACCUAACCAGAAAGCCACGGCUAACUACGUGCCAGCAGCCGCGGUAAUACGUAGGUGGCAAGCGUUAUCCGGAAUUAUUGGGCGUAAAGCGCGCGCAGGCGGUUUCUUAAGUCUGAUGUGAAAGCCCACGGCUCAACCGUGGAGGGUCAUUGGAAACUGGGGAACUUGAGUGCAGAAGAGAAAAGCGGAAUUCCACGUGUAGCGGUGAAAUGCGUAGAGAUGUGGAGGAACACCAGUGGCGAAGGCGGCUUUUUGGUCUGUAACUGACGCUGAGGCGCGAAAGCGUGGGGAGCAAACAGGAUUAGAUACCCUGGUAGUCCACGCCGUAAACGAUGAGUGCUAAGUGUUAGAGGGUUUCCGCCCUUUAGUGCUGCAGCUAACGCAUUAAGCACUCCGCCUGGGGAGUACGGUCGCAAGACUGA
rnacentral:rRNA from 1 species